UUAUGUUUCCGUAGUGUGGGAGCUUUGUUCUUUCACUGUUUGCGGAUAUCUCUCUGUCGGCUAGGCUGGAGUGUAGUGGUGUGAUCAUCAUGGCUCACUGUGGCCUCAAACUCCUACUAUGGACAGGAGACAGGGAAAUACUGGGUAGAAGAGGACAGUUCCCCAGCAAAGGCCCCACCCUCAAGCCUGGAUACCCAUGGCCCUAAAUGGGAACAGGCAUUUCUGUUUUUGCACCCCAAAAGUUGACUUUUGGCCCACAUGCUCCCUAUCCUGUACCCAUAUAAACCCCAAAUUCCAGGCUCCAGAGAGAGACAAGGAGAUGAGGAGACAAGCAGACGAACAGCGGAACAAUGCAGCAGAGAAAGAGAGAAGAGAAGGAACGUCUGAACGUCGAGAGGAGUUCGGCUGCUGGACGGCCAAACUCCAGGGGAAGAUCAUCUUCCCACUCCAUUCCCCCUCCAGCUCCCCAUCCAUCCCACUGAGAGCCACUUCCACCACUCAAUAAAAG
rnacentral:lncRNA from 1 species